AGAGCAAAACAUAAUAUUAACCCAAACAUUAAUAUUUUUGUAUCAUGUAGAUUUGAUUACAAGCUCAGUGCAAUUAUGCAAAUCUCCUUUUGCAUAUUUAAGCAGCAGACAUGAGUCAGUUUACACAUUCAUCUGAUCACUAGAGGGAGUGAAGAAUCACUUCAGUUCAGUCAAACUGUGCUGAGAAACAAACCAUGAUCUCUUCAUCUUUAGUGCUGCUUCUGGCAGUCAUAUCCUGUAUUGAUUCAUAUGAACUCACUCAGCCUGAGUCUCUGACUGUCCGUCCUGAUGCCACUCUCACUAUCAACUGUAAAGUCUCAUAUUCAGUUACAAGCUAUGGUACAGGCUGGAUUCGUCAGCCUGCAGGAAAAGCUCUGGAUUGGAUUGGAAUCAUCUGGAGUGGUGGAAGCACAGACUACAAGGAUUCUCUGAAAAGCAAGUUCAGUAUCACCAGAGACACUUCCAGUAACACAAUAACACUGCAAGGAAAGAAUAUGCGAGCUGAAGACACAGCUGUGUAUUAUUGUGCCAAAGAAACACAGUGACAGACGCU